rnacentral:sRNA from 1 species
GUAGUCUCUGUCCUAACUCACCACCUGCUCCCUGUCCCCCGGGAACUUUCCUCUCCGGAGCAGGACCCCACAACGCCUCCUUCUGCCACCUCUGCCCUCCCAGGUUCUUCAACCCCUGGCCCGGCCAGGAUGCCUGUUUCCCCUGUGGCUCAGAGGCCACCCAGCCAGAGAAGGGCAAGGACACGUGUGUCUGCCUGGGGCCUGGGCGAGUGUUCCAACCCAGUGACAGUCGGUGCCCCUGCCUCCCGGGCCACCGAGACUUUGGAGAGCCAAUGGGCUGUGUCCAGUGGGAACACAGGAGCUGCAAGGACGGAGCCACCUGGAAUCAGGAGGGGCUAUGUUUGACCAAGGCUCAGUGGAAUGACCACUGUGCCCACGAGGUGUGUGCCACACCAGGAGAUGCCCAUGGACAUGACCCAAGCCCUGGGGCUCUGCCUGUGCUGGGGACAACAGUCAAGCAGAAUGUGCAGCCCUCUGUGCCCAGAGAGACAGAGACACAUCUUGCAGCUCAGCUGCCCUGAUGGCAUCCCACAGAUUUCUGUCACUGAAGGCAUGGGGAGUCAGGAUUUUUACCUUCUGGACCAGCCUUCCCCACCACGUGCUGUGGGCCAUCCCUGCAACUUGGACCUAGGGCAGAAGUCUGACCCCUCUAUGUGGUCAAGAUGGAUGCGCUUGGCUUCCUGGGCCUGACCAGACCAGAUGGUGAGCUACUACACUCCCUAGGCCUUCCCUUCGGGGAUCCCAGGCAUCCAGACCAGGAUCCAGAAUCUUACCUAGGAAAGUCUAGGGAAGGACAUCUGGACUCUUCUCGGUCACUGAGCCUCAACUCCACACAUCUUGGGGAUCUGCUGCCCCCAGAGCCAGGCAUCCGAAACCCCACAGUCUGCCUCCAAGCCAAUGAUACCCUGGCCUUCCUGGUGACUCAUGAGCAUUACCCAGAGUAUGACCUGGGCCACUUCUAUAACACACUGGAGCAAUUUGACUGGGGGCGCUUCCGGGCCCUGGCUGAGGAGUCCCAGCUCUAUGAGCAAAGCCUCAGCCUCUUUCUGCAGCAUUUCCAACAGCCGGGCAUUUAUGUCUUUCGUCUGAGCAGCAACCGACAUCGGAAGAUGUAUGUCCGGGCCCUCCCGCCAGGGGGCCAGUGCUUUGGGGAAGGGCCCUUUGCCUCCACAACUCCCAGGUAUCUCAUCCAGACUGGCAUUGCCAGGAUCCCCCGGCCCCUGAAGAGGUCUGGCUGGCCAGGACUCCUGGGGGAGAUUGUACUGCUCCUAGGGCUUUGAGUAAAGCCAGACAUUCAGUGUCACAGCCUGAGCUGGGCUCGGAAGGCUGCUCCCCACCCCACCUUCAGGAGACGUCAGCAGGAAUGCAACCUCGAUGCCUACACUUCCCCAAGAACUGGGACAAUGUCAAUAAGGAGAGGCCGAUCUCACCAAGACUCUGACGCCCCCAGGGUUGAGGGGGGUCCUGGUGGGAGCUGGGAGGCUGAGGAGCAGGUAGACCUGGAGUGGUUUGACACAGAGGCCUUCUUUGGAAUCCUCCUCAGGCAGUCUCUGUCAGUGACAGCCAAACUCAGCCAGACGAAGGAAGAGCUCAAACUCCUCUACCUUAAACUUCUGGGUGAAGCCCGUUCUCUCCAGCAGCUGUGGGGAACAAGGCGCUGCCUCCCAGCCUCCGCUAACCGGCUUCUAAGGAGCGUGCAGAGGGAGCAGCAGCAGGCUGCUGAGGCAGCUGCCUGGGCUGCAGAAGAGAAGGCCAGCCGGAGGAGGCACCUGGCAGGCGAGUACGCAGCCAGCCUUCGUCACCAACUCAAGCUCCUUUGCCAAAACCUCCUCGGGAGGCAGGAGCAGUGGGCCUCUUUCUGCUCGACGCUGAGGGAGGCUCAGCAGCAGCUGAAAGCACAGAUGGGCUCCAGGUCAGAGAAAUCCUCUCCAGCUGGGCAGAACCCAGAAAGGGCAGUUCCCCAGCUGGACACUGUGCUGGGCCACCUGUCCCAGGUCGUGCUGCAGGAGGGCCACCGUCUGAAGGCCUGGGGCAUUCUGGGCACUGGCACUGGGGCGGAGCUACUGCGGCCAGCCCCAGCAGGCCCUCCUGGUGCUGAUGACAUCAGUGUGAACCCCGUCACCGAGUUGAUGGUCCCUGUCCCCAACUCCUUGAUGCUUCCAGCCAGCGGCCACGCAGGCUCCAUACCCCCUGGCUACUUCAUCCACCCUGACACUGGGAGGGUGCUGCCCAAGGCUGGACACCUGGGAUAUGAUCUGCUGAGAGCUACCCUGGUGCCCACUAUGGACACCAAUGCCGGUGGUGUCCGAACAUCAGAAGCUGCCAUCCUGCCCUAUGUGCCCUACCCAACCAGUCCCACCACAGGUUCCCCUCCAGCCACGCACCUGCCCAUCCUGCAGCCAAGAAGGACGUCCCUGCUGGGGGCUCUCAUGAUAGACCCCAUCACAGGCAUCGAGGUGCCCGUGCUGGCUGUGAAUCUGCACCCCCAAACAAGGCAGUGGCUCACUCUUGGGGGGACAUACUGCAAUCCUCUCACCAAGACCUUGGCCCCUCUGGAGAUGGGGGGCCCAUUGAGGAUCCAGUCACAGGAGGCAUCUGGCCCAUCCUGGGAGUCGGGUCGAAUGAAAACACAGCUCAGCUACUUGUACUGGGAGGGCUGCGAGAUGCUUCGGGGAACCUCUUGCUGCCUGGUGACAGCUCUGUGGAGCCACUGAGCAGGAAGACAGUCCGGCUCCAGGGGGCUUCCCGACGAGAGGGCCAGACAUUGCCCCAUAUGGGAGGGCCACAGGCCCUGCUGGACACCAAUGUGCUAGUGGCCCAGAGGCAAGUGAUUACAGUGCUUCAGCCGUGCCAGGAGAGUCCAGAGUCGGGUAUACAGGAAACUCUGGAGGCUGCCAUUAAGGACAUGAGACAGGCACUGGCCUUGACUCUGCACCAUGUCCUACAGCAGGCUCAGAGGCUGGAGAGGCAGCUGGUGACAGCAGAUGACAUUGAAGCCAGUGGUGGCAGGAUAGGAAUGAUGCGCUAUCCUGGGACAGAGCUGUGGGCCCCAGCCCUGUAUGGAAUGGAGAUCCCAGAUCCUGAGGGCUCGGGGCUCAUGGUGCCUAUCCUGGGCAUGGAGCAUGAUGAGAAUUCUGGCGAUGCCACACCGCUGGCAGGCUCAAUGGAAGACGCUGAUGGCAAAGGUCUAAUCCCAAUCUCGAUUGGGGCUCAAGCCAUAGACCCCUGGACUGGGAAGCCUGGUCCUGUCAUUGGAGCUCAAACGGAUCUCUCUGCCAGAGUGGUGGUGCCCGUUGUCCAGGUGCUGGAGGCUUUACCUGGGGGAGUGAGAGACCCUGGUCAGCUGGACGUCCUGGAGCAGGAGUUGAGAGCCCAGGAGCAGUACUGGUGCCACCAGGAACAGGAGGAGGAGCAGCUACUGGAACAGCUGGGGCACCUGAGCCAGGAGCUCCACUUCAUGGCAGGAAAUGGCGCUGAGCAGCAGCUGAAGGCUGCAGAGGAGGCCUGCCAGGCCCUUGAGUCCCGCUGCCUGCAGGAGAUGGAGAGAAGAGCCAGGGCUCUGAGCACACACAGCAGCCCAGAGCGGGGCCUGCUCUCUCAAGAGGUCUGGAACCGCCCCAGGAAGGUGACGCUCUGAGGCUGACAAGGGUCCCCACAUGUGAUGAGCACAUCCUCCCACAUCAUCAGAUGUGGCUCUUCGGGGCAAUGUAAUAUUCAGGGGUAGGUGGGCUCAAGGAACCGUGGAUGUGCCAGAAGGGGAGUGAGAAGAAAGAAGGCUCAUCUUAACUUGGCCAUUACGUUCCCUGUGUUGUAGGUGGUUCAGCGUCCCUCUGAUGAGUUUCAGUGGGUGGUGAGGGAGAGACAGAACUUCCUGGCUAAGGCCCUGGGUCAGCUGCAGUACCGACGGGAGUGGAGCUGCCUCCAGCUGUUGCACACCCAGAUGAUUGCCUCAGGAACCCCUGUGUGUUUGGAGAAUUACCCUGGAGACAUAUUCUAUGGAACAGUCACCACUUCUCUCAGGGACCGGGCUGCUACCUGCCCCCUGUUGAUCCCAUUCCUGAAGCAGCUCACUGCAGCGCUAGUAGGAGCUCCAGGGCUGGAGGAUCAGAGGCCAGAAACAGAUACAGAUAAAGCUGACAUCAUCUGGACUUCACCAUUCUUCUCCAUCCUGAAGAAAACAGACAUCUGGUCCCAAGCCCACAAGGAAGAAGCUGAAUUGCAAAAAUAAGUGUAUCACAAACCAGACCCAAAGAGCUCUUUGCAGGAUCUUCUAAAACCUCAGACAGUGCAGAGGAAAAGUUGAUAACUGUGCAACCCACUGACCUUUCUGCCAGGGAGUUUGUGGUUUACCAGUAUGGCCUCUCCAUCCUGCACCUCCUCAUCCCCCAGCUGCAUGCUCCAGAAAUCACCCUGAAGAUUUCUUCUCAUCUUCCUGCCAUGGAAGCCCAAGGCAGUGCCUUCCAAGGUGCCUUCUUCUACCAGAGUGCUGAAAACACACUGUUCAUUGGGAGAGAAUGUUUGGCCUCUGUGGGAAGCUUUGUUCUGCUGCUGAUCCGCUGCCUGGCCCACAUCACUGCUGGGGAACCCCACCAGGACUCCGGCCCUGCCUUUCUGGGGUCAUUUUACAAGGGCCUGGAGGCCUAUUUCAGGGAAGCAUUCCCUAUCACACUGAGAAUGGCAGCAGUUUCCAGGGACAGUAAACUUGACCAAAGCAUAAGUGCUAUCCUGCUGGAAGAGCAGCCCAUCUCUGACAGAGGAAGAGAUCUUCUGUCUAAACUCAUUGAAAUGAAGCAUGUGUCUAUCUCCCUUGGAGCCAGAACCACUAGAAGAGUAUAUUCAGAAAAACAAAGAUCUUCUGCUCUUUACCAGUAUGGAACAUUUCCUAAAAAGCAUCCUCGCUGCAGAAUAACAA